GAACUACUCCCUCCGUUUGGAAUUACUUGUCGCGAAAAUGGAUGUAUCUAGAUGUAUUUUAGUUCUAGAUACAUCCAUUUCCGAGACAAGUAAUUCCAAACGGAGGGAAUAACAA
rfam:Triticum aestivum genome assembly, contig: Triticum_aestivum_CS42_TGACv1_scaffold_131578_2BL